rnacentral:rRNA from 1 species
CCCUUAGAUGUUCUGGGCUGCACGCGCGCUACACUGAUGUGUUCAUCGGGUUCGACCUUGCCCGGGAGGGUUGGGUAAUCCUUUCAAAACACAUCGUGAUGGGGAUAGAUUAUUGCAAUUAUUAAUCUUCAACGAGGAAUUCCUAGUAAGCGCGAGUCAUCAGCUCGUGCUGAUUACGUCCCUGCCCUUUGUACACACCGCCCGUCGCCCCUACCGAUUGAGUGAUCCGGUGAAUAAUUCGGACUGCAGCAGUGUCCAGUUCCUGGACGUUGCAGCGGAAAGUUUAGUGAACCUUAUCACUUAGAGGAAGGAGAAGUCGUAACA